rnacentral:rRNA from 1 species
CACGUAGGCGGAUUGUUAAGUUGGGGGUGAAAUCCCAGGGCUCAACCCUGGAACUGCCUUCAAUACUGGCAAUCUAGAGUCCGGAAGAGGUGAGUGGAACUCCUAGUGUAGAGGUGGAAUUCGUAGAUAUUAGGAAGAACACCAGUGGCGAAGGCGGCUCACUGGUCCGGUACUGACGCUGAGGUGCGAAAGCGUGGGGAGCAAACA